ensembl:lncRNA
CUUUUCUUUUCUUUUUUUUUUUUUCUUUAUCAAUUUUUUUAUUUGUUAAGUUAUUUUCAAUUAUGUAUGUGUCUGUCUCUAUCUCUGCAGGUAUGUGUCUGUGUAUGCAUACAUGGCUGUGGGUGCCCUCGGACCAGAGGCAUUGGAUCUCUUGAAACUGGAGUUACAGGCAGUUGUGAGUCAUUCCAUGUUGGGUUGCUGGGAAUUGAACUCAUGUCCUCUCCAAGAGCGUAAGCACUCUUAACUGCUGGUCAUUGCUCUAGACACCUCUUGACUCUUUUAAGAUCUUUGGAGACUCCUAAGAACUUCUAGAUUUGAAAGUUUACAAGGUUCUGAAAGUAACUGACAAUAAGUUACACGUCUCCAUGAUUAUUUACUUUUCCACAAAAUGUUCUAUAUGAUCAUUAGAAGAUAAAAAGUAAACACUUUUGCAUUUAAAAAAACCUUAAAAUAGAAGCAGUACAAAAGGUUUUCCCAGUUGUAAACAGGAUCAGAAGACCCCAGGACUCCAGAAACACUGUGGGGAGCUACGAGGCUAGAAGCACUUCACUUGGAGUCCGGGGAGUUGGUUUCCCGUCAUCCUCUGUGCGGUGAUCUUCAGCUCAUCUCCCAAUGCCUGCAGAUCAGGAGCUCCAUCGUGGACAGUAGCUGGUCCGUUGUAAUCCCAUGAAGUUAGAGUGAUAUAUUCCAGGCUGUCUGCACUCAGGGAUUUAAAGGUUUACUUAGUGUGUGUGCCUGGAAUGCACAUGUAUGAACUACAGGUCUGCAGUGGCCUCAGGGGCCAGGAAAAGAAUGGCGACAUCCUGGAACCGGAGUUUGUGUGAGCCCUCCAGUGUCAGUGCUGGGAGCUGAGCCGAAUCCCCGGAAGAGCGGCAAACGCUCUUCACCACUGAGCUGUCUCCCCAGCUCCCACAGUGAGGGAUUUGAGAGUCUGUAGAUUUAUAUUUUCUCCUUUCAUUUAGUCUGACUUCAUCUAUGUAUUCCUCUCUCCAUGGCCAGGCACCGAUGUACAUUUUCCUGCGUGGCCCCGCUACUCUCAUGAGAGCCCACAAGGAAGUACACACCAUUUCUCGCCUUUAUUUUUUUUCAGCUUCUGUUCUCAGCUUCUCCAAGACCUCCUCUGGAGUUGUAGAGGCCAAGAGCUUCACCACCUUUUCCCGAGAUUUACCGCCCUUGUCCAGAACCACGUCACUCUUCCUGAGGUCCAAGACCUUGGAAAGGUACCGACAGAGCUCCGCAUUGGCCUCUCCCUCAGACGGAGGUGCCGCGAUGGCCACGCCAACCGCCUCGGUGUUCAGAUCUGUCACAGCAUUCUGUUUGGAGCCGGGUUUGGCAUGGAUGGCUAUGGUGACAAAGCCUUUAGAAUCAGUUGCUACAGGCCCUGUAGGGGGAGGUGGUGUCUCUGGUUCCUUGGUUUGGUUUUUACCCUUGCUUGUUGCACCGGCUUUCUUAGGCAUUGUGGAACCACACAGGAGUCUAGUAGAGGCCAAGCACAGCGACCUACAAGGAGCUUCAGCAUCACAACUUCGCAGGUGCCACGGAAGGCGGC